rnacentral:rRNA from 1 species
UGCAGUCGAACGGUGUCUUCGGACACAGUGGCGGACGGGUGAGUAACGCGUGAGAAUCUACCUUCAGGUCGGGGAUAACCCCUGGAAACGGGGGCUAAUACCGGAUAGGUCGAAAGAUGAAAGGUUAACUGCCUGAAGAGGAGCUCGCGUCUGAUUAGCUAGUAGGUGUGGUAAGAGCGCACCUAGGCGACGAUCAGUAGCUGGUCUGAGAGGAUGAGCAGCCACACUGGGACUGAGACACGGCCCAGACUCCUACGGGAGGCAGCAGUGGGGAAUUUUCCGCAAUGGGCGAAAGCCUGACGGAGCAAGACCGCGUGGGGGAGGAAGGCCUUUGGGUUGUAAACCCCUUUUGUUAGGGAAGAAAAAAAUGACGGUACCUAACGAAUCAGCCUCGGCUAACUCCGUGCCAGCAGCCGCGGUAAUACGGAGGAGGCAAGCGUUAUCCGGAAUUAUUGGGCGUAAAGCGUCCGUAGGUGGCCCGGCAAGUCUGCUGUCAAAGACCACAGCUCAACUGUGGAAAGGCAGUGGAAACUGCAAGGCUAGAGUGCGGUAGGGGUAGAGGGAAUUCCCAGUGUAGCGGUGAAAUGCGUAGAGAUUGGGAAGAACACCGGUGGCGAAAGCGCUCUACUGGGCCGCAACUGACACUGAUGGACGAAAGCUAGGGGAGCGAAUGGGAUUAGAUACCCCAGUAGUCCUAGCUGUAAACGAUGGAAACUAGGUGUAGCACGUAUCGACCCGUGCUGUAUCGGAGCUAACGCGUUAAGUUUCCCGCCUGGGGAGUACGCACGCAAGUGUGAAACUCAAAGGAAUUGACGGGGGCCCGCACAAGCGGUGGAGUAUGUGGUUUAAUUCGAUGCAACGC